GGGACACAGGGGAGCUCUGUCCCCACCCCGUCACUGAGGGGCUCAGUGUCACCGAGCUGCAGGCGCUGUGCCGGGAGCUCCACGCCCGCGUGGGGCGGGUGGACGAGGAGCGCUAUGACAUGGGGACACGUGUCAGCAAGAACGUGGCCGAGAUGGAGGAGCUG
rnacentral:lncRNA from 1 species